CCUACGGGAGGCAGCAGUGAGGAAUAUUGGUCAAUGGUCGCGAGCCUGAACCAGCCAAGUAGCGUGAAGGAUGACUGCCCUAUGGGUUGUAAACUUCUUUUAUAAAGGAAUAAAACGAGGCACGUGUGCCUUUUUGCAUGUACUUUAUGAAUAAGGAUCGGCUAACUCCGUGCCAGCAGCCGCGGUAAUACGGAGGAUCCGAGCGUUAUCCGGAUUUAUUGGGUUUAAAGGGAGCGUAGAUGGGUUGUUAAGUCAGUUGUGAAAGUUUGCGGCUCAACCGUAAAAUUGCAAUGGAUACUGGCAGGCUUGAGUACAGGUGAGGUAGGCGGAAUUCGUGGUGUAGCGGUGAAAUGCUUAGAUAUCACGAAGAACCCCGAUUGCGAAGGCAGCUUACUAAACUGUGACUGACAUUGAUGCUCGAAAGCGUGGGUAUCAAACAGGAUUAGAUACCCUGGUAGUC
rnacentral:rRNA from 1 species